CCUUGCUUAUGCUGUGCACCCAGGUGUUCGAUUCUGGGGUGUACGGAGAAAAAAGGGGAGGGGUUCCCCUUCGCUAUUUCUAAAACAUUUGACUAUGGACACGAGAACUGCUGAUUAUUCCUGAAUGUCCCACGCUUUUAUUAAAAAAAGACCUGUUGGAGACUUUGAUUUCCCCUACUGUUUUCCAGGACUGUAAAGAAAAGCAGGCUGCUCUCUGCCUUCGCCAUGCCCACCUUGCUGAGGAAGGCUUUGCAGCCACUGCCGGCUGAAUCCUCCCAGCUGCCUUGGUCACAGCCCAAGCCUGGGAACUCUGCUUACAGCCACCUGCCCCCCCGCAGGUAGCAACUGACUGAAGCGAGGAGGGGCCCGGGAGGUUUCAGAUCCCAAUUCCAAACAGCCUUCCCGAGCUGUUUGCAAGUUUCACAGAGAACAACUGCCCCCAGCUCCCAGACCACAGUUGUGGAAAGCUUGGGGUUCAGCAAUGCCAAGGAGAGCCGGUUUUGAUGGCACAUGCUGGUAAGAAGGCAGGGCAGCAAUGGUGAAUGAGCUGAGCAGCCUACUUAAAGGGACAUCACCUGGAUGGCAGAGAAGCUUUUUCUUACCAGGACUAAGAAGAUCAAAGAAGAAAUCUUCUCGAGGUUUGGCCUGCUCAAGGCGCGGUUGAAGGCUCUCCAGAUCUCUGAGCCCAGACAUAGAGACCCCUGGCCACCCUGACACCUGGAAAUCUCUCAUUCGUUCCAGAAUUGACACCUGGGGUAUAUCCGGAGGGACAUGAGAAAAGCUGCAGCACCCCACAGCCAGAACAGCAGCUGCCCGCUCAUACCUGCAAUCCAUGCCUCCUCAAGCCCUUGCUUUGAUACCCCUGCCCUCACCCCUGAUUUCUGUCAACUAGUAGCAGGGCUAGCCUCCUGGGAUAUCUGAGAUACAUAUCCCCCAAAGCUGACCCUGGAGGCUGGCAAGAUUUCCCCUGGAGGAAAUAUUUGGACACGGGGGUUCAGACAUCUCCCUCACUUGUCUCCUAGGGGCGAGAAGCGGGACUGUCUCCAUGGGUGUCAGGAAGGACUUGGGACAUAAAAUGAUAUUUAUCUGACCAGAGCCUGCUGCUGCAGGCCAGACUAGACCCUCCCUAACGGGGCCCUAGCUAUCCCUGCUGCUGCCCGCUGGACUAGGCUACUCUCCCUGCUUCUCUGCUGGCACCUCCCAACACCAGCCCAGGCACCCGGAAAUCUCACACCUGUUCCAGGUUGGCGAUUCUGUGUAUGUUCAGAGACACCGGUCCCAGAACCUUAAACCUCGCUGGAAGGGACCCUACACCUACUGCCCUCAAAGUGGACGAUCUUGCAGCCUGGAUCCAUGCAUCUCACGUCAAGCCUACACCUCCACAGGACGACCCAGGACCAUCCAAAUAAAAGUUUCAGCGUACCCAAAAAUCCUCUCGCCUCUUGGGAGGAUACUGAGCAAAGCCCUGGAAACUUUUAUCCUGUAUGUAAAUAUUCUGAAUGAUAUAUUUGUCCGGGGGGGAAAGACAAUAUGGGGGGGGCGGCUAAAGUUUAUUGUGCUGCCUGGGGAUGUAAAACCAAUGUCAAUGUCUCCUGGUUGAGGGUUAACAAAAAGGACUUAGUCUCUUUCACCCGUACCACACCAGAAAAAAAAAAGUCUAAAAUCACAAUCACUUUUACUGA